rnacentral:lncRNA from 1 species
GUAGCUUACACAGUUGCAUCACCAUGAUCCUUUGCCUGCCUUUUAGAGCUGUUGGAAAGAUGAAKGAACUGGAUGAGUUCAGUCUCUUACAUGGAUCCAUGAGGUACUGCUGCGUGUCUUGUCCUGGGAUCAGCAUAGCUCAUAGAAGACUCUGAACUGAAACAAUUGGUGACUAUCUAGAGACCAAAGGUUACAGCUGCUUUCUGUGGUACCAGAGCCAUCAUUUUGAAUCCAGGCUGAUUGGGAAGAUACUUCUGUGUGACACAGACAAGGCAAUUUCCAGUUGACCUCAGAGUUUUAAAUGGUGGUUUACAAUGGAGGGAAAAACAAACCCACACAAGACAGAUGGUAAAUGGUG